rnacentral:rRNA from 1 species
UUGUUGGUAAGGUAAAAGCUUACCAAGGCUUCGAUCAGUAGCUGGUCUGAGAGGACGACCAGCCACACUGGGACUGAGACACGGCCCAUACUCCUACGGGAGGCAGCAGUGGGAAUUUUGGACAAUGGGGGCAACCCUGAUCCAGCCAUGCCGCGUGAGUGAAGAAGGCCUUCGGGUUGUAAAGCUCUUUCAGCCGGAACGAAACGGUUACGGAUAACACCCGUGACUACUGACGGUACCGGAAGAAGAAGCACCGGCUAACUACGUGCCAGCAGCCGCGGUAAUACGUAGGGUGCGAGCGUUAAUCGGAAUUACUGGGCGUAAAGCGUGCGCAGGUGGUUUUGUAAGUCAGAUGUGAAAGCCCCGGGCUCAACCUGGGAACUGCGUUUGAAACUACAAGACUAGAGUGUGGCAGAGGGGGGUGGAAUUCCGCGCGUAGCAGUGAAAUGCGUAGAGAUGUGGAGGAACACCGAUGGCGAAGGCAGCCCCCUGGGUCAACACUGACGCUCAGGCACGAAAGCAUGGGGAGCAAACAGGAUUAGAUACCCUGAUAGUCCAUGCCCUAAACGAUGUCAACUAGUUGUCGGGCCUUUACGGGCUUGGUAACGUAGCUAACGCGUGAAGUUGACCGCCUGGGGAGUACGAUCGCAAGAUUAAAACUCAAAUGAAUUGACGGGGACCCGCACAAGCGGUGGAUUAUGUGGAUUAAUUCGAUGCAACGCGAAAAACCUUACCUACCCUUGACAUGUAUCGAAGCCCGCAGAAAAGCGGGGGUGCCCGAAAGGGAACGAUAACACAGGUGUUGCAUGGCUGUCGUCAGCUCGUGUCGUGAGAUGUUGGGUUAAGUCCCGCAACGAGCGCAACCCUUGUCAUUAAUUGCCAUCAUUUAGUUGGGCACUUUAAUGAGACUGCCGG